CACUGGUUAGUAAGACAAUUUUGAAGCCUAACUUUUGUAUCCUCUUCUUGUUCCUUCUGUUGAGUUUCUACUUGUUCAAUGUUAAACAACUACUGUUGAAGCUUCUCAGUCGUACUUCCAUUCAACUCCUUCCCAGUGUGUUCCUCACUACCAUUGGCUAGUGUAAUUCAUUUCUUGGAGUCAUGUAUAGUUAGGCUGUAGUGUGUAGAAUUGUCUAGGUGUUGGAUAUCAGUCGCAUGUUUAUCCUUGUUCAUUUAAUCUUUUUGUACUCACAAAAUUGCAUAUAAAUUAUAAACCAAUAAUUACAUCUCUUAUAUGAAUGGCAUACGAAUCCCAGUCAUACUGAAUUGUCUCCAGUGAAAUGGCUAAAGACCUAUGUUGCGCUAAGUGGCUAAGGAACUGUAUUGGGCUUAUAGUGGAUAAGGAGCUGUCUCGGGCUCAACUGGCUAAGGCACUGCAUUGGGCUAAAUGUUUACCAGACUAACAAAUCAUCGACUAUUUUUUCUCUUGUUAUGAGUUACGACAUGUACCACUCUUUUCCAAAUGCACUUUCUCCCCUUUAGAAUUCAGAUUGUAUUUCUGUUUGUAGGGUCUUAUUUGGCACCCUUUUUUUUCCCAGAUAAACAGUUGCAAUAAGUUCGCAUGAGUACCUGUUCUAAAGUAAACAAAGCCACAGUGGAAUAGCUGGUAAAACGUAUUUUAACCUGUAAAAUUCUUCAGUCAUGACAUUGGGAUAGCAUCGCAUUGUGAGUUACGUCAUGGAAAGUUUGACUGGUGGUGUCUGCUUAUUGAAUACAACCACCACAAUAGCUUGUUCAGUUGAAUCUAGGUUUAUCCAUAUUUCAUUGAAUCCUUGAUCAAAGGAGUAGCCAAAGCUUUGCCUUGAUCUAACUUCAGAAAUCCUUUGAAUUUUCUGAUACAUUUAAAUGUUGCUUUAUUCAGAACUCCCAAGAUCCAACCAUUCAGAGGUCGGUGAGCGCAUCAUUUUCCUCCCAGCUUGUGAGUAAAGAAGGGGAGGUUGCUGGAAACCGCAAGCUCUGGGAAUUCGCAAGGAACUGAAGUUGAACCAUCACUUUCUGUCAAGAAUCAAGAUAAGUCUUAGUGGUGCUACCAAUUCCUUUUUUAAGGUUAGUGGCUUAGUGCGCAGUUGGUGGCCAACUUCAUGAGCGACAACUUAUUUUUGUCGAAAAUUGUAACUAGUAAUUUAACUGAUAAAUCGUAAUACCAAAAAAGUUACUGUCGUUUUUGGUCUCCAAGAAAUCCAGAUGUGGUGCUGGGUAAAUCUUUUCCUUUUUUCCCCUCGGCAAAAGCAAGUGAUACAAUCAAAAUUUAAUCUACCUUCUGAGCAAGAGACAUGAAAAGGGUUGCUCCAUAAAAUUUGGUUUCUGGUAGCUUGUCUUCAGGCAGCAAUUUGUUGUCAUAAUUUACACGCUAAAUUUGAAGCAUAUCAACUUGGUCGAGAUUCCUGUUUCUGCUAAUAUCCUUGGCGACUUCUCUUUAGAUAUCUGGAGAUAAGAUAAGGUGCUCGAGAAAGCAAGCAUGAAGAUUGGCCUACCGGGUUUGGCUUAUCCUUGCAAGUGGGGCUGUCUUUUUCAUUCUUGUUUGGAAUAGGAUUCGUAGGUCAUUAAUCCAUAGGAAAAGAAGAGUCCAAUUUAAAGUUGCUUCCAUUUGAUUGUUCUUUUUCUGUAUGACUUAUGACCAAAGUUAUAACAAUGAUAUGAUAUUGCACAUAUAAUAAAUGAUCUGAUACCGCAAAAACAUAUCCAGAGUGGAAGCUUUCUUGCAGAGGUUUCAAUAGGUAGGUAGUAUUUGAUCUGAUUGAAAUUGAGAGCUUUUGAGGUUCAUUGCUGCAAGUCUGCAAUUUUUCUCCAUUGGAAUUAGGAAAGCAUGAAGUCUUCAAAUCAUUGUGCAGUUGGGCACUUAGGAGGAUUCACGGUUCCUAAAAUCCUAGCAGCGUUUACCAGAUCAUAAGAAAUGAAAAGAUGGAAUUAGAAUUUGCACACAACUGAAUCAAAGGGAUGCUUCUUGCAAAGAAAACACGAAUUCAGACCAUGGAUGUGCUCUCUCAUGCCUAGGAUUAAAGCAUCCAACACAUCAAGAGGCCAAGAAAGAAGGAUCAUUUUACACAUAAAACCUAUGAUCAUAGCACAUACUGAGUUAUAUAGGUACAAGAUCCACAAGAUCACCAAGGUUUGCUAGAGCAAAGUUGGACAUGCAAAGCAGAAAGAUUUUUAUUUUUCCUUAUAGCUAUUCACAGGCUCUCCUUACAAACUUUCUGGAAAACAAGUUCAUGGCUACAAAGUUUUCAGAUCUCCCCCAUCGAUGAACUUCUCAAGAGCUCAGUCUCCCCCAAGAUUGAAAACAUGAACUACAUACCUUCUUUUUUGCACAUCAUACCCAUAUAUAGAGCCAUAUCUACCUAGUUAGCCCCCUUCAUGAGUUCAUUCAUGUUCAUGGUGCAAACUCCAUAGUUUACAUGACAAGCUCCAGUUAUCUUUUGGUUCAGUUCUUUGCAGAUCUGCCCAAGACACGGCCAUGCAAAAGCACAGCCAUGUUCUUGUUUGCAGAUCCUUGUUCUUUUUUUAUGUGUGACCCCAGGGAGCCAAGAACAUGACUCUCCUUAUGGGAUCCUCGGCGGCCGAGCCGCGGCAGUCGGCGCCACGGCUCUGGCCAGCGGCAGCGGCGGCGGACGUGCGGCCUUCGCCGGCCGGCCUCGGCGCCGGCGCGGCGUUGGUGCUGCAGGAGCGCCGCAGUUUGUCACGGAGGGCCUGUUUGACCUCGUGAGCCCAGGAGCCCUCCCCUGCAGGCAGCUGAGGGGGUUUCACGGGCAUGGCUGCCUUGCCAAAAAGACCAAGAAAUCCUAACACUGAAGACUCACUAGACUGGCCAACCGAAGAGUGUUUGCAGAGCAGAGAAAUGGUAGUAGAUUCAUCAGAGGUUUCGCGAUGGGGGCCUAUUUAUAGGCGAGAGGAGAAGCCCGUGAGGGAGAGAAAAGGGAAUUCCACUUUUUCUUUUUUCCCACUUGCGCGCUGGCGGAAUCGGGUUCCAAAAGGGAACCCGAUUAGUGUUGUCAAUUCUGGGUGGGUUCUGGUUGUCAUUAUCAUGGUGUUGAUUAAAAACAGUGGUGAUCAAAUGGCCUUUGGUAACAAGCUGCUGUUUAUGACAUAACAAUAGGGAAAAAUGAUACUGGAAGAGUUCAAGUCGCACUGCUCCGGUCUGAUUUAACUAGGCGUUUUGGAUGAUUCGAUUUCAAAUGGCGUCAGUAGAAUCUUAACUGCUCCGUUGAGCCAUUCCUGUGUUUUGGGACUUGAAGGAUUCAAAGCUGGACGCACAGAUGAUCUGUUCUGCGCGUUAACAUCUCGCUUUUUACUCUAUUUUUUCCCUGACACUCAUUGUCUCCGACAAGCACAUUUGACCAUUGCCUUUCAUAAUUGCUUGUUUUUUGGGGUAAAAACUGGAUACAUACUUGAUGAUGUGAACGGCAAAUCUCUUAGCACCAUUCUAUCCGCAGUGUCCUUGUAAUUUUUUGUGUAUUUCUGGUCAAAAUUUUCAAUGCGUACCUAGACGUGAGCUAAUUAAUUAGCUUAAGAUAAACGGAUGGAGUAUCUGUUUGAUCUUGAGAAUUGAGUAAGACUAAACAUAAAGCUUAUGAGCCCUAAUUUUUCUGCAAGAAUCCACUGACAACAUAUUCCUCAAGAUUUUCCACUACGUAUUGCUGGAUGAAAAGAAUGGGAUGAAACCAGCCAUGGAUUCCAUUUGCGAUGCCCCUCUUUUGUAUCUAGUGGCACACUUUUUUUUUUGUUGAAAGAAAGGGGCUCUUGAUUCCUAGGGUUAUUCGGCCGCCAUGUUGCCUUGUCGAGGCCGGCGAGAAUGAUGGCGCCGGAGGACAGGCUGAGCAGGCGAGGUGGGGGCGGAAUUAUUGACGCCCAGCCGUGGUGUCCACCAUGCAGGUGGCCAGCUGGCGCGUGACGCCCGCACAGCGCAACAGCCUAGUGCUAGUGGUGGUGCCCGUCGCCGCCGCGGGCCCCACCCUAUGACUAGGCCUCCCGUUCUUUUGCGCCCCGCGGGCCCCGCCAACCAAUCACUCUCUCGCUCGUAUCGCUUCGCUUGUCUCGCUCGUAUCGACAGGACAGGCCGACAGGGUGCUGUGCUUCCUUAAAAACAGAUUAAAAAAAAUAAAAAUAGUUUCUGAAAGAAAUGAAAAUACGAAGAACUGUGACAGGUGCAGCCCAACUGUUCGUGCCUAGCCAGGUUAUCUUUGCCGUGGUGGUUCGUUUGGAAGGGUGUGUACCUACCGGACCAAUCGCGGUUAAGAGGUGAGUGAGCUAUCACCUUCACUGCCUUCCAUUGGCCACGAAAGCAAACGCUAAAGUGUAGCUUAAGCUGGUGAGGGUAGGAUAGGGAGUCGUGACACGAGAGUAAACUCGAUCACAGAUAUUUUGGAUAAAAUUCCGAUCACAAAUAUAGAACAAUAGUGAGUGAGCCUAGGUUAGUCUGCUUUCGGCCUUUUGGAUUAACCAAUCUAACCCACGAAGCCCACGAACUGGAUGUGCAGGCCCAGUAUUUCUUUCGCAUUGAUCAACUUGCAUCUCAAACGAUUUUUUCCGUAUGAGUUCGCAUUGGUUGGCCCCCGACCAGUAUCCUCGAGAAAAGAAAACGUAUCCUGCUCGGAGUUGCAAUUGUGCCCCCUUGCCAUAUUGAUCUUCCGUAUAUGUACGCACACGAGGUUCGAAACCGAGCGUCCCGUCCGGCGUAAACCGAUGCCGCCGCGCAAACGCUGCAGAACAUGCGCUGCGCGGCGCGCGGCCGCGACGACUCCGGAGCUUCCGGCGAACCUCCUGCUUGAGAUCGCCGCGCGCUCCGAUGCCGCCACCAUCUUCCGGUGCGCCGCCACAUGCAAGCUGCUCCGGCGCGAGAUCCUGAGCCCGGACUUCAUCCACCGUGUCACCGGAGGCCCCGACGCCGCCGCCGUGCCCUCCCACGUCCUGGGUGUAGUCGGGGGAGAGCGAGGCCUCUUUCUCCCUCGUGCAUCCGGUGACGGUGGCCACACUGACCUUCGCGAGGCGCCACCUGGCGCCCUUCGUGUCGCGCGCCGCCGCUGGGCUCCUCGAGCAGUACGUGCCCCUGACGUCGCGCCGCGACAUCAACUGGCGGCGGAGGUCAGAGCGCAGCCGGUCGGACUUGUGCGUGUACGACCCCAUGACUGACAACCGGGCCUUCUUCCCCGUCCCGCCGGACAUCGGACGGGACCCCUACCACGGGCUACUCGGCUACCACGGACAUCGUCGACGAGCUCGUAGUGACCAUAUGGGUGCUGUCAGGAGGAGGCUCCUGGGAGCGGCACUGGGAGGUAGACAUGGAGGCGGAGUGGUAUUUCGAGCCGUGGGAGCAGCGUGGGUUCGAAUUGUUCAGCUUCGGCGAUCAGAGGAGCGGCGUAGUGUUCUUGCGACUUGAUGGUGAUGGUCUGGGCGUGCUCUGUGGGGUCGACGUGCUCUUGUGGAGACGAAAACCACGUUUUUACGAGUUUUUUAUGAAAAGACGGGCAUACCAUGCGAGGUGGACCUCGCUUCUCGGCUAUCCUCCAUGAAAGCCUACUAGUACUAGCUAGCUUCUUUUCGAUCAAAUAACGGCUAGGCCACGGAAUCGAAUCACCAUAUGUGACCCAAUGCAAUCCAAGUAUACAGCAAUUAUGGAUGUAAAAAGAUACUAAGGCUAACGCCAAUUUAAGUUUUAUUUUUAUUAAAUGUGACGGUAUCUUUAUAUUGGCAAGGUAAGAGAGAUGGAAGUAGUUUUAUCUCCAUGAGGCAUACAUUGCUUUCGAAGACUAUGAAACUGGAAUUGGAGUUCAGAGGGUUUCCUUCGUCCGAUCAUGUGCAUUGCAAUUUGAUGCUAUUGCUAGCAAAUGAAACCGUGAAAUAAAAAUGUGCAUAGGAUGCUUAGUUUCAUUAUUUCAUCAACCCAAACUUAUUUAGAUGACAUGGCAUUUACCUGGAAUAAAACUCACUAUUGGGAAUGAUCUAAUUAGAAACAAAUGUGAUGGGCUCCCUAAAUUUUUGAACUCAAUUUUGCAUAUUUCAUUCUCACAUUGCGAAAUCCCUCCCGAUCUUUCGAUCAGUGGAGUCCACCUCGAAUUCGUGAGUCAAAGGUGUGGCAAGAGAGCGAGUUCGACUCGCAGACGAUCCGCAAGUGAAGGACCGAUCCUUUAACAUGAGUACUUUUGCGAGACUGGUAAGUGGAAUGUGAAAGCAUCUAGGCCUCUAAGUUGAAUUUUGGUAAUUAAUGACAACAUUUGUGGACUAAUAAUUUCAUUAGAGAUAUGAGUAUAGGUUAGUCCCAGGGAUGAAAUGAGUUUCAAAGGAUGCUAUGGUGAUAGCUUGGAUGGUUUCACAUAGGAAAGCUCAAGGCAAAUGUAUACGAUUGGGCUUUUCUAUUUUACCGGUCAAGAGGUGAUUAGUGGAUGGUAAUUGAUCGAAUUCAUAGGCUAGAUAGCCGUACUAUCAAGAGGGAUCAAUUUCAUUUGCUUAACGAUUCUAUAGUGCCACUUUGCCCAAACAAUUGCAUUGCAUGCAUAUAGGUUUAUCUCGUUUGGAAAGUGGAUAGAACUAUGGUAAAAUGAUUUUUAGAAAAUAGCUAACGCACAUGUAUGGCGAACGAUCUCCCUUAUUUGUGGCGGACCGUUCUAUGACUUAGCCAUUUUUGAGCCCAUGGUGAGCUGAAAUUGUUGAACGGUGAACGGUCCGGCUGUGGGAGGCGGACGGUCUGCCGACUAACUGUAAAAGUCAGACAGAACAUGUUUUCAUUCUGGUGAGGUGCGAAGUUGAAAGGUGGACGGUCCAGCCAAGGACUCCGGACGGUCCGCCACUUAUUCACAUUUUUUGGACAGAACAAUUCUUGGUUCCGUGUGGAGCAUGGACGUGAAUGGUGGACAGUCCGCGCCCAAGGGGCGGACGGUCCGCUAGCUAAUUUGAAGAGUUGGACAGAACAUUUUCGUUUAUGGUGGAUGGGCGAAAAUGGAAGGCGGACGGUCCGCCUCACUAACUUUGAAACUCAACGUGUUCUGGACAUGUCUAGCUGCGUGCUGCAUGUUUGGAAAUUUGAACUGCGGACGGUCCGCGCCUGGAUGGACGGUUCACUUGUGCUGCAACGGUCAUCUCUGCCACGCAUUUAUUGCGGUUGUAGCUGUUGGAAUGAACGGCGGACGGUUCGCGCUCAUAAAGGCGGACGGUCCGCGAAUCCCCUGUUUGUGCGCGUUUUAAACAUAACGGUUAGUUUUGGGGGAAGACUCUAUAAAUAGCUCAUACCCGAGCGUGGGAGAGCUCUCUUGGCACUUUGGAAAGCAUUCUUGACACAUUUGAGACUUCUUCCUCCUCUCUUUCACUCACUUUGCUUAGAGGUUGCAUUCUUGUGAGAUUGAGAGUAUCCUAAUGCAUUGCAUCAAGAGUUUGAGUUUUGUAGCACUAGAGAGUCUUCAAGCAAGCGUCAUUGGCUUGUUACUCUUGGAGGUUGCCACCUCCUAGACGGCUUGGAGGCUGUGGAGUCGUUGAGCCCUUCAAGAAGACUGCGAAGGAGCCCCGGCUAUUCUUGUGAGAGGUUUUUAUGCUCACCUCGCCGGAGCGGUGAAGGGCAACUCUAGUGGAAUCAUGGUCUGGAGAGGUUUUUUUUAUUCUAGUCAGCUGUCUUGAUAGAGGAAUGGUUGGAACAUUGAAUCCAUCUCAACGUGGAUUAGGGGUGACCGGCAAGUCAUCGACAUCACGUAGAAAAAAUUCAUCUUUUGUCUUCGGUUAUUUGUUUGCUCAAUUUUCUUAUUGCAAUUUACUUUGAGCAAUUACAUACUAGAGAUUGAAUUAUAUCUUAUCACCCUAGGUUGCAACCCUCACCUAGUUUUAGAAAGAGUAGAAAUAGAAUUUCUUUUAUAUUACUAAUUAAAUUUAUUUAGUGUUGUGAUUUCCCCCCUCUAGUCGGUAUCCUAGAUUCUGCGGAAUGUGAAGCACACCAAUGUUGAGUAGGCAAUUAGCAAGGAGAAGAAACACUUCUUGAUGGUUGAUUGGUUGGGUGGCCAGUCCCCGCAACCAGGCUUCCUUACGAUACUUUUGCAAGUCCUAUCGCCACCUCUCGACAAUUUGUCGAAGUGUAAGUUUCCUCCGUUUUAAUCAUAACGCCGGGUAGGGACCCUUCAUCAGGUUGCUUGACCGCCUCAACUCGAAUUUAGGCUAGUUUGUAGGGAAAAUGGUACAUAUACCGCUGCACACAAGACCAUUUUGAAGGCAUUUUUAAUAUAGUAAAAUUCUAGAAAAUUUUUGCCAGGAAUGAAUCCAUCUAACUCUUGCUCUCAGCAAUUUGGAUGUAAAAUUUAAUAAACAAUGCUAAUAGUACGUAAAUGUCUAGGCAUAAUACUACCGCCGUCCAUAAACCUAUGAUGCUAGGACAAACUAGUUAGUUCAAAUUUAGUUUGUCCUAACUUUAUAUAUUUAUGGAUGGAGGGAGUAUUUUCAUUAACUACUAAUAAUAAAUGUAAAUCGGUAUAUAGUAAUAAUAAAUAUUAAAAAUUUCAACUGACUUUUUCCAUUGGAUUAGCCAAUUUAACUCGGGAGGUCACGAAUAAGAGAGCAUUGGAUGUACGACACGAUCCAGCCCAUAGGGAACAAAAGUAGGCCAGCCCAGUAUUUCUUGCCUCGUGGGCUUAGCCAAAUGCUGGGCUUUGUGAUAAGCACUAAGACGUGGGCACACGUGCUGCUGCUCCAACGACCCAUCCAAUUCCGUGACGUCUCUCCCACUCUUCCUCGCUUCCUACUGCCUCUCCAGAGCAGAGCCCUCCCGUUUCAGCUCACUUCCGAAUUUUUUUACAAAGGAUUCAGAGAGGGAGGGAGGGAGGGGCAUGGCGGCGAUGGUGGCGGGUGCGCUGCGGAGGGGAAGCGGAUACGGCAGUGGUGGCUUCCGCUGCAGCUUGCGUCUCCUCGCUCAGUCGCUUCGCAGAUUCGUGAGCGCCCUUCCUCCUCGCAUUCAGUUCACCUCACCCCGCUCGACCGGGAGGAUUGUGUUGUUGUUCCCCGAGACCUUAGAUGCGUUCGCGCCGCACUAAUCACUUGCCCCGCUCCGUUUAUCGAUGGUGUCGGAAUCGAAUCCCUGGCGAUAGUUUUAGCGGCGGAUAAAGCAACCUGGAUAAGAUUGCGAGCCCGAGUUCACUAGUUCAGGCCUUCGAUUUUGCUCUCCACAGUUUAGUGCUUAUUAACGCGUGUGUGUCUGUGUCGAUCUAGGCGAGCACGCUGGUCGUAGCGGAGCACGAAGGUGGGUUCGUGAAACCGUCGUCCCUGAGCGCAUUGGCCGCUGCGGAGGCAAUUGCAAAAGAGAACAAAAUUUCUGUUCUGUUGGGUGGAUCCGGACCUGCGCUUCACAAGGCUGCCGAUCACGCUGCGUCCAGUCAUCCACUGGUUUCUGAGGUAUUGUGCUGCUGUAAUGCUGUUCUCAAAUUAUGUCCAGUCUAGUAAUCAUGUAUUGGUGCCAAUUUUAUCCCUUCAACAACUCCCAAGGAUCAGGUGAAAACUAGAAGAGAAAUAGAAGCAUUGUUCUGCGGGCUCCUCUGCUUAUCAAUUGGUUUCUAGCACUGCAGGUGCUGCUUGCCGAUUCAGAAGCCUUGGCACAUCCUUUGGCUGAACCAUGGGCCGAGCUACUCCACUCUGUUCAGCAGAAAGGAGGCUACUCUCAUGUUAUAGCUUCAUCGACGUCCUUUGGGAAGAAUUUGCUUCCACGUGCUGCAGCUCUUCUUGAUGUAUCCCCUGUUACUGAUGUCACUGCAAUAAAGGAGCCACGAAUCUUUGUGAGGUUUGAUACUCUGCUGUUUACUAUGUUUUUUUAGCAUUUUAUUCAGAAUGUGGGAGUGGCAUGGUAAAACAAUAUUUGUCCCCCCAGUAUGCUGGUUAAGGUUUUAAUUUCAUGUAUACAUGUGGUUUUGGAAUUUGGAUCGGUCCAUUUUAUGUGUUUUAGUGUACUUGGCCCCAUUUUCAUGUACUGGAAAACAGUCCGUACAUCUCAAUUCAUAACUCCUAUUUGUGUGCUCAUCUGCCGUCCCCAGAUCAGGUACUGCAACUGCCAAUAUUAACAGUGGAAAAAUUAUCAAAUGCUCCCUUCUUGAUAGUUCACCAAAUCUAAAGUUAUAGCUCGCGAUAUGUGGCACUGUCUUGCUCAUUAUCAACCUGCUUUGACACAUUUUAUGCUAAUUUUGUAUUAGUUCAUGGGUGUAAAAAACGCAUGAGCCUAAAGAGAGAAGUCAUAUAUGGUCACAUUCAGUCAUUCACAUGAGUCCACAGCUGCCUUUUGUGAUGUUUCGUUUUGUUGGGGUUUCAUGCUGUCGCAUAGAGCCCCAUGUUAUAUGACAUUCACUGUUCCAUGCUUUAGUUAAUGUGUGCUUCUGACUCCAGGCCAAUUUAUGCUGGUAAUGCACUCUGUACUGUGAAAUAUACUGGAGAGGAUCCUUGCAUGAUGAGUGUUAGAUCAACUUCGUUUUCUCCAAAUACUGAGGCUAUGUCUGAAACAAAGGUUGCACCUAUCACCCAGGUUGAUCUCUCUUUCCUCAGUGAAGGUUUGUUUGUUUCCUUCACCAUAUUCUUCUGUUAACAAAUCAGCAAUCCUUCAGAAUUAUUUUAUUCAUUUUGUGUUGCUCUAGUAAUGUUCCGACUCAUGCAACUAAACUCUGGGAGUAAAGGAUCAAUAUAUUAAUUUUCCUUUUCACGUUCUUAAUUUUUAUAAAGCUGAAGCAGUCUGCAGGGGAAAAAACACUUCUCAUUUGAUUGCGUAGUAUUCGGACAGUUUACUGAUAUAAAAUUUUGGCACAUAACUAAUAGCACCUUCUCUUUGAUGUAUAUGUAACAUAGGGAAAUCUAAAUGGGUGAAUCUGACAUCCCAAGACACAGAGCGACCUGAUCUUGCAAAUGCCCGUGCAGUAGUCACUGGAGGCAGAGGUUUAAAAAGUGCUGAAAAUUUUAAAUUAUUGGAGCAGCUUGCUGAGAAACUUGGUGCAGCAGGUUUGAGCUUCUAUCUGAAUUUUUUCCUUACUUUUGUCCAUAAAUUAUUUUUCUUGGUGGCACUGAAAUGAUUAGUGUUGAUACUUUACCAAGGCCUCAUGCAAAAUUCAUUCCCCUGCAGACUGUAACUUUCUAACUAUUACUUUUCUUUUCUGUAGUGGGUGCUACUAGGGCUGCUGUUGAUGCAGGUUAUGUUCCAAACGACCUUCAGGUAAGCACCGCAAGUCUAUCAUGUGCAAAACUGCACCAUAGGAAAUUACUAAAUGUGUUCUGAAUCAUCCAGCUAAUAUAUAGUUGUAAAUUCUAUUAUGAGCUAGUGGUGUUAUCACCAUGAUCAACAUCCUGUCAGUUCUCUAGAUCAUUGGUGCCUUCUUUUAUGAACAACCAUCUAAUUCAUUGCUGGCUUUCUUGUUGCCAGGUUGGUCAGACAGGGAAAAUUGUUGCACCAGAGCUCUACAUGGCUUUUGGAGUUUCUGGAGCAAUACAGCACUUGGCGGGAAUGAGAGAUUCAAAGGUUAUUGUGGCCGUUAAUAAAGAUGCUGAUGCCCCCAUAUUUCAGGUUCCUUCUCGCAUUUAAUAAAUAUACACAUCGUGCACUUGUAUAAAUUGCUAAAAGUUCUAAAAAUUCUAAGCCAACUGCAUUGGCGUUGUCCAGGUUGCAGAUUAUGGGCUAGUUGCGGAUCUAUUCGAGGUUCUCGACGAAUUGUUGAAGAAGAUCCCAGACAAGAAGUGAGUGGAUGCCGUCAUGAUAGUGCCCAUCUCUCAUUUUCCCAUAAGUUCAUAAUAAGAUGAAAUUAUCUCAUGAUGUGAAUACUGCAUCUGGAAUAAUGUAUGUUAUUAUGGUCAAGGGACCUGUUCUUACUCAUUUCGUAGUAAACAAAUAGGCUGCUAGCGGUAGCGUUUUCACCAUCAAACCAGAGUGCAGAUUAAAUAAGCGAUAAUUUAGACGUGGAUAUUUGCAGUUCGUACAUCAAGGCAAGGUACAACAGUUACAUAGAAACAAGUGAACAUGGACGCAGGAACAGUGUCAGCAUCGAACAAGCGAACAGCUGAGCGAAACGAAUAAUCUUAUAUUCAACCACAACGUCAAAAGAAUGACCAUACAUGAUGUGUACAAUGUUUAAACCUACUGAUACAUUCGAAUGAUUUCGAUACGCCAAAACAGAGAACGAAACUAAUGAUUUUCUUAUUCUUCUGUGAUCAAAAUGAACACGAAUCCCAGAAACGAGGAUAAAAACUGUAAAAGAAUAUCAACGGUAUAUAAAUGUUACAAGUAUAAUAUAUGAAUCACGGCCUGUAUGAACUGAAGUACUGCCCUCAUCACGAUUCAGAUUUAUCAUCAGGAGGGGUUCCAACGAGCCAACCCCACAUGCCGCCAGAACUUUGCCGCUGCUUUGCGUCCAGCGCUGCUUGCUCUGACGCGGCUCUCUGUCGUCGAAGCAGCUCAACCUCCUUUUCCAAUGCGUCCAUACUUUGAAGCUUCUGUCGUAGUUCCGCAACAUCGACCUAGUGGGCAUUCCAGAAAUUAGGUAUGAUCAGAGCAUUGUAUUUAUAUGUUCUGCUAAUGGUUAUGAUAAUCGAUAGUUUAACUCAUUUGAUUACAACAAGAAGCCAAUGUGUACCUCAAGUUUGAAACAUCUUGACUGCUCAGCAGCAAGUUGGCCACGGACAGCUUGAAGUUCCUACACAAUUUAAAUGAGAAAAAGUAAGGGCCCUAAAACCAGCUUAGGUAAAAUGGUUUUAGGAAAAAUUUACGCAGCACUGGUUCAACUUAGGGUGCGUUUGGCAGCUGAUUCUCUAUUGAUUCCAGUAGGAGCUCUGCCAAACACUUUUUCAGGAGCUCUGCCAAACACUUUUUCAGAGAGAAGUGAUCCUCCACUGAUUCUGUGAAGUGAUUCUUUGAAAUGAACUAAGAGGCUGGGAGCUGAAAAAAGUAGCGUCUCCUGAUUCUGUGAACUGAUUCUCCAUCCUGAUUUUAAGAGUUUAUGCUAAAGAAUCAAAGAGAAUCACUUUCAGCCACAGAAUCUCUUCUCUCAGAGAAUCAGCUCCCAUAGAGAAUCAAAAUCAGAUGGAGCUCUACCAAACAGACCCUUACUUUCCUUGGAUAUAAAACUAAAACGACAAGUAAAAGCACAAAAGUACAGUUUGUCUUACACAACUUAUCCUAAUUUUAACUUAGAAGUCACUUUGCUCCAGUUUUGUUGAAUAUGUCAUGAUAAAAUAUUAUAAAACUAUGCAUAAUGUAGCAAUGAAUUAGACUCAUACAAUAUUCAAUACAGCAAAAGCUUUUUCCCCUCGAAAGUGUAUGCCUAUAUAUUUAGUAAAAAUGUAGUUCAAAGGCAGAAUCAAAACUUAUAAGUAGUUCCUAAAAGAAUAUAAUAGUAUUACAUGAGAUGCGUAGUAACUGUUCAAGAGGAGGUUCAUUAGAUGCUUGAAAGAAUAUGCACUAUUAACCUACGACAUAGAAGAAAGAGCACUUGCCUUUGUGAGCUCCACAUUUCUGGACUCUGCUUGAGCAAUGUCUUCUUUAAGUUGUACAGUUUGCAGCUGUUCCCUGUUAAGUGUCGCUUCUAGUUCAUCUUUCUCAGCUUUGAGAGCUGCCAAAAGCUGUUCACUUGCUUCAUCAGUACUGUUUUUCUGGAACUCAGCAGAGAUAAAAGAAAGGAAGUGUGAGUAUCCUCAAUAACUCAAAUCAUAAUUGGUACAGCAACCACCAUAAAGAAUUUUGUACAAGACACAAUCUAUGUAACGAGUGCCAGAACCACAAUUGCACUGUGUAGUUUGCAGAAUUUCAACUAGUAUGAAUCCUAAUUUCUACAAUACACAUUCAGGAAGUCAAAGUGGCUAGGCCAAAACAGGAAGCACCAUUCAGUUCUAGCUAAUAGCCUAACAGCGGAAAAUAUCUGGAGCAGGACAUUACCAGGUCUGAAUCAGCACUGUCCAUGGCAAUCUCUCGUAUCUUCCCAUCCUGGGAAGUUUCAACCUCUGGUUCCGCAACCCUAGAUGUAGUAUCUGAGACAGUUUCUUCUUUUGUGGUUGACUUGGAAUCUGAUUUGAGGCUAAGUUUAAGAGUAUAAACCUGUUCAUCAUAUGGAAAAAGUGUUGGUCAAAGGUAGUUUCACAUAUUGUUCAUUGUAUCAUACGCAAGUGAUAGCUUGUAGCAUUGACUGAAAAUGUCAAUUACCUCAUUGCUGUAUCGUCCAUUGUAUCCUCCAAAUGAGAUGAGAUAAUCAUAUCCAUUGUAACUGCUAUGCACUAGAGUCAUGCCCUAGAUAACAACAAAUUAAAAUAUUAGCAGCCAGGUAAAAAUAAUCCUGACCACCAAAUACUGCUCAAGAGAUAUACCUCACUGGCAAGGGGAACCCGUCCUUCCACAGUGCUAACAACUGACCAUGUCAGAGUUGACAUGUUAAGAACGAGAGUCUCAGAGACACCUGUGGAGAAUAGUAGAGCUAAGUAUUCACUUAAUAGCAUCAAAAUGAAAAGAACAGGUUUAAGGGCCUUGGUUAGGGUAUGUUGGGAUCGUAUGGAAUCCCAGAACAUCCAAAAUGAGGUCUGAUUGGAGAAAAUUCCAUCAGAGGCAAAAAGCCACUAGUAACAUGAGUAUAAAAAAUGAACCCCAUAAAUAAACGCCAUAAUGAUCACAUCGCAGUUAUCAAGAAGCAUCUUGACAUCCUAAGUUAGGAAAUCAAAUACUUACCACUUUUAUUAUUGCCACCCCCAACUAUGUACCAGUUCUCCCCGACAGUUGCACCAGCAUGGCCAGCUCGUGGGCUUGGCGUCAGGCCUUGUUGUUUGGGCCUUGACCACUCCAUCUGUAGUUCCAAAAAAAAAGCAGUCAAAGAUAGCACACAAACCUUUACAGAUGCCCAGCAAGAUUAAAUUUGUACCGUCUGCAAAUCAAGGACAUGUAGGUCGUUGAAACAUGUUGCAUGAGACCCCCCACCAAAAAUUAAAAGAUAGCGGUCAGUAUGGCAAGCAGCAGCAUGAUCCGAUCUUGGAGAAGGAGGGGUGCCUCUAAAACACAAAGCCAACACCACAGUGAGCUGAAUUCAAAAUACAGUAACACAACAGUUGGCUUCAAAAAAGACCAUUGCCUUGUGAUUCAGAACAUGCGCAUGAUGACCUAGAGAGAUUAUUCCACAAUCCAUAUAUACAUGUUACUAAAAUACAGCUUUGAUCAUUUUUUUACAUUGGGGGGGAGGGGGUGUGCAUUACACCUUCAUAAUGAAAGUGUAAAUACAAGAUAACUUUACCUAACUACGAAAAAUAUGUUUUAAGGUCUUGAUGCAAUCUAUAUUCAUUAUUCCCUUUUAUAUUAGUAAAAGCUAAUGCUCGAUAGCGUGAAAGUUACCAUGCAUACCAAUUAUGUUUGGGGCACCAGUGCGCCCACCAAAAUCUAGGAGCUUUUUUUUAAUAAAAAAAGUUAAGCUCACAUAGCAAAGAUCAAUGCAACAAAUUAUGCCUUCUUCUUCUCAUUAGGUAAAUUGUGCAUUAAGAAUCAAGAUUUUUGUACUUACAUUGCAUCCACAUCAUCCCAUGUCAUGGUUUCAAGAUCAAGAAUGUGUAAGUCAUUCAAGAGGCACCGUUUUGCAUCUUCACCACCGAACAAAACUAGAGUUGUUCCAACAAGAGUCACCGUCUGACCUCCACGAGAAACCUACAGCAGAUGAAACUUACAUAAGCAAUCUACGUUCCUGGGUAUAUAACUGGAUACUCAAUACCAAAACAACUAAGCAUUGCUAUUAUGUAGAUUUUUCAUCAAUCGCUUCACAACACAGACUUUAAGUUUAAAUCAAGCACAGAACAGUGUAAGAAACCACCUGAGCAAAGCACAUAAAAAAUCUACAUGCUCAAAUGUAAGAACAGUGGAUUGAAGAAAAAUUAUUACCGGUGAUUUUCCAUAAGUCCUGACAAUAGACCAGGUACAAGUAUGCGGAUCAAAUUCCUUCACUACAAUAAAAGCACCAGAAGUGAAGUGACAACAUCAGAAAAACAAAUUAAUGCAAUGGGACUUAAUUAGUGAGUAGUAUCAAAAUAGAUUAAAGCUGAGCAAACCUGUAAUGCCUUCAGAUGGAUCUUUGGUAUGCCCGGCAAUAGAGAAAAAUUUGUGGCCCCAUGUUAUCUACAAAAUGGUACAGAACAAGAGGCAACCUCCAUCAGCUACAGUUUUAAAGAUAUCUGACUUUGCAACAGUUCAACUAGUUGUGCAGAAGCGUACCAAUGAAUGGCCAGCACAGGGAGCAAUUUGUGAGGUUUUUGCUGAAUCAGAAGAUUCUGCUUGCAAUUUGGCAUCAAUCUUUGACCAAGUCAAACUCUUCAGAUCCAAAGCCUAUUUUGUCAUAAUUGUGAAAAGAGGCAUCUGUUAAACCAGUGGCUUAAUGUUUAGCUGCUUUCAGAUGACAUUUUUUACUAGGGAAAUUCUACCUAGCUUGGUAUUUUCUAUGCAGGAAAUAUCAGAAAACUUAAAGGUUUUCGCACAAUAUUUUUUAGGGAAAUAGCUUUUAGUUUGUGAUCUCCUUGCACAGUGAUAAUACCCAAUUUGAAAAUGACAUAUUAUCCCAGAAAGUUUGGCAUAAGGAAGCACACGGAAGACUCACAUAGUUGCAAGAAAAACAUGCUUUCACAUCACACCGAUUCACAAAAGGUCAAGUUUAGGAACCAUGAACAGAAAUGGACAAUGAAUCCAGAGAGUAUUAAAUCAGAUGCACUACUUAAGGAUGAUUUGAUCAAAAGCAGUAAAACAGCAUAUGCUACACAGUGUCAUGCUUAAAAUCCAUAGCUGAUAACUUAGGAUGCAUAGAUAUAGCCUUGUAGGUUGUUUUAUUCAGUUGCAUGUACCUGAAGGUCACUAAGGUAACGCCCGUUAUGGUUUCCACCAAAUAUAUACAUCUUAUCUUGCAAUACAGUUGCUCCAUGCUACAACAACCAAAAUUCUUAUUAGUAAAAUAAAAGUAAUAGAAAAAAAAUAAAAGUAUUAAAUGAAGGAAGAGGAAAUUGAUGUAUCUGGCACACCUCAUAACGAGGUUUCGGAUGAUGACCACUGAUAGAUAAUGGUGUCCAUUCGUCAAGAGAACUAACAGUACUAAGGCCUUCCAGAAUAACAUCUUUGUCCUGUGUUUCCACAGAACUUCCAUUUUCAGAAAUGAUUUUAGGUUCUGAAAUUGAUGUUCCAUUUGUUGAAGCUGGUACAAUCUGUGGCUCUUCUUUUGGCUUCUAACAAAAUUAAAAAAAAUGGAUAACUUACUAAAUCUGUUCAGAGCUAAACAUUAAACAAUAGAAUCAAAGAUCAACAUAAAUUCUGAAUAUUCAGAAAAGGAAGCAACCAGUAGUCAAUAGUGUGACUUACAUGCAUUUGAAUAUCUACAACGGGCUCAGAGUUGAACUCAGGGACCCUAGAGUACCAUCCAGGAUCUUCCUCCUGCCACGAUAUCAAUACAUCUAUCAGAUCAAUUUGCAUAGCUGCACACCAAACAAUGUCAUGUAAUCACUCAUACCUCCAAGAUUUUGACAAAAAGACGCAUCGCCUCAGCCGACGGCAUGCUUCCAAGCCCAUGCCAACUGAAAACACAAAUCAUAUAAGAAAUGCGUAUUGUUUUCAGGACAUGCAAAUGCAACUCAAUAAUAAAUGAUAUUUCCCACUCCAGCUAUCCAGGUUGGGCCUUCCAUAACCUAAAUUACAUGAAUACUGCGGUUAUUGCAGCAUAGGCAUCUCAUUUGCUAACUUAAGGCCAGGAGCAAAUUCCCAUUCCAAAGUCUGGGUUAUGCAAUAAACAUAAGCUGACAUGAGAAUGAACUAUGCAAUUGUCUCUGCUGAUGUCUAGUACCCUAGUCACGUUCCAAGUUACAAGUAAAUGACUAUGCGUUCCAUAUCCAUUGAUAAAGCAGAUGUUGGCUUCUACCCUGACAACGGGAAGCAGGAUUUGCGUGCAGUUUCCAGUAGAACUAACCUGGUCCAUUUGCUCUGCUCCACGGGGUUCCACGCCCUUGGCUUGGGCACAUUGCAUGGACCAACUGUGGCCUGGACGAAACAAAACCCAAAAUCACCAACCGAAUUGCGAUCACCAAAGCAAAUAGACGGGGACGAGCAAACUAACGACACAAUUCAACCCCCGAACAGCACCAGUUCAGACUAUUUCACGCUAGAUCCACGCAAAAUUUCAGCCCACACCCAGAAUUAAUCGCCAAAAUCAGCAAAAACAUCGGCCGGCGUGUCACCUGCUGGUGCAGGCCGUAGAGGAGGAGGGCGACGUCGUUCUGGAAGCGGGAGAUAGCUGCGGAGGAGGUGGCCCCGCCGGCGCCGAACCCGGCAUAGGCUGCGGCGGCGUAGAAGCGGUCGGGGUAGGCGAGUCCGGAGCUCGCCAUAGCCGGCGCCGCGCCCUAGAUCUCCCCCCGGAUCUCGCGCGGGCACCGAACCACCGGCGCGAGACGGCGGUUAGGGUUUACUCCUCCGAAUCCCACCUCCUCUUCGUCGUCGUCGUGUGGAAAUGGAAAUCUGCAGGGGUGAACUCGCGCCGAGAUCUGGAGGGAGACGGCGAGCCGACGCUGGCGCCGUUCGCGGGCGACGCUUUUAACGCUCCCCGCCGAGGUGGCCGUAGAAUGGAAGGGAGAUGCUGACGGGAGCGGCCACGUGUCCUUGACAGGUGGGUCUAGUGACGCGGUAAUGGAGUCGUGUCUCCACGGGGUCGUGGUCGUUUCGUUGGGGCUGUGGGUGUUUCCGUCCUCCUGCUCUGACUUCUCCGUUUCGCCCGAUCCCCUCCCCCACCUGCCAGCCCCCCGCCGGUCACCGCUCGCCGCCGCCGCCGCCGCCGCCGCCGCCGCCGCCGCCCACGGCAGCCAUCCAGCCGCCGGAACCCAUCCUUCCGUUUGGUGCUGGGUUCAGUUCCUGUGUCGAAACGAGUCGCGCAGAGCCGCAGACUGGGAGCUGGGGCGAGGAGACGAGGGAGGGAUGCAGCAGCUGCAGCCGAAGCAGAUGCACUGGGUUAGGGCCGACUCCUCCGACUUCGGGGGCGACCGCCCCGCCCCCCGCAGGUAUCCAGCUCACCCUCGUCGCCGCCGUCUUGAUUUUAAGUCCCAACCUACCCGCCUAACAACAACCACACGGGUUCUGCGAUCUCGUGCAGCGGGCACACGGCGGUGAGCAUCGGCAAGUCCAAGGUGGUCGUCUUCGGCGGAUUCGCCGACAAGCGCUUCCUCUCUGACGUCUCCGUCUACGACGUCGGUAAUCAAGUCUCACUCCAAUUUACUUGCCGAGCUAAUUUGCCUCCCUCACAGCAGAGCACAUCUGCACACGCCGCAGCUCAAAAUAUAAGGGUUAUCAGAUUGAGAAACGUAGAUUGCAUUUGGAUGAUUGGAUUGUUAUUUAAGGAGCAUAUGCAUUAGGAGUGAAGGACCAAGAUGUUUUCCUAAAAACUUCUGAAUGCAACUUAUAUCGCAGAGAAUAAGCUAUGGUACACACCUGAGUGCACAAUUAAUGGAUCCGAUGGGCAGGCAGGCCCAAGCCCUAGGGCAUUUCAUGUAGCUGUCGUCAUUGACUGCAAUAUGUUCAUCUUUGGUGGCCGUUCUGGAGGCAAGCGGUACGCAAUCCAGCAUAAUUUGGAAGCUUAGCAGAAAUAAUUUCCUUUAUUGUUACUUACAAUGUGGUGCCUGUUGCACAGAUUAGGUGAUUUCUGGAUGCUAGACACCGGUAAGCCUCUAUGUUUCAUCAAAUUGCUAGCAUCCCCUUUUAUUUGUUUUGUUUGCACUUCCUCUGGGGUUUCUGCAACCAUUAAGUGCAUCAUGCUGCUGCAUUACAUUCAGACCUAUGGCAGUGGUCGGAGAUGACUGGCUUUGGUGAUUUGCCAUCACCACGGGAGUUUGCUGCUGCUUCGGCCAUAGGAAAUAGAAAAAUUGUUAUGUAAGCAUCAUUUGAUACACACACCCCCGUCAUACUUUCUAUAUCAUCACUUGUGACGACCAUUAUAUCUUUAUUCAGGUAUGGUGGUUGGGAUGGCAAAAAAUGGCUUUCAGAUGUAUACAUCAUGGACACAAGUAGGCAAACUACUUCUUUAUCCAAUCUGUAGUGGACACUGAAUUUCUCUUCAAGAUGGCAACAAAAAUGUAGUUUGUUUAUUUCUUGCAUUCUCUGUUGUAUAGUGUCACUGGAGUGGACAGAAUUAGCAGUUACCGGAUCCGUGCCGCCUCCAAGAUGUGGGCAUUCUGCAACCAUGAUUGAGAAGAGACUGCUUAUAUUUGGAGGCAGAGGUGAUUGUUAUUUCUUGAUCUCAUUUCUGGGUUCCUUAAACAUCAUGGUUUAUGAUUCAUUGUUUAUUUCUUAAGCUGCAACAAACUAAUGUGUUUCUCAUUCCUUCCCACGUCGAAAAUGUGAAACUGAAUUUGUUGAUCAUUUUAAAUUUCUUCUAAAUAUAUCAGCACUAGGUUUUCAUGCGGAUUGUCUUGUGGAAAGGAUACUAUUUUCCUUAUGAGAAUUUCUAAUGAUUAAUUAGUUAAUUCAUAAACUAUUGGUUCUCAACAGCCUGUUUCCAAUUACUGCAUAUCUUCUUUGCCACAGGUGGAGCAGGGCUGAUAAUGGGUGAUUUAUGGGCUUUAAAGGGUGUUACUGAAGAAGGUAUCUCCUUAUAUUUUUGUAAAUCUGUUUGAAUAAAAGAAAGACUGCUAUGUAUAAUAUAUGCUAGCUCAGUUGAUGAUGACGCCAGCAGAACUAACAGUGCACCUGGAAUUAAGCCAGUGUAAAUGGUUGUGGGCAUGCCUUUUUUUAAGUAUUAUAUUACGUCAGGACAAAAAUUAGGGUACAUAUCCUGAUAUCUUGCUUGCCCUGUGUGAUGACUCUUGCUUUAUUGGAAGUCAUGAAAUUUAAGAUGCCCCCUUUAUUUGAUAGGUGUUAAGUGGUAGCUGACAAAUAUUAUUGUCAUUGUUUCUCCUGUUAAAUUAUCUAGGCUGUCAUUCAUUUGUAUGUUAGCAUCACAUUGCACUGCUCAGUUGAUGUAACCAGUUAUUAUGAACCUGAUUUUAUCUAUUUUGGAAGACAAUGAGACACCAGGUUGGACACAAUUGAAGCUUCCAGGGCAAUCUCCCUCACCACGAUGCGGCCAUUCAGUAACAUCUGGUGGACCUUAUGUAUGUAAUUUGAUUUCAUCAUACAUUCAUACUUCCUUUCUGAGUUUUCCGUCUUUCUGGGUGCAUUAGUAUGGCAUACAUGGAAGGUUGGGCCCUGUUGAAUGUCCGUGCUGGAUAUUAAUUAAUUAUCAUUACUACAUUGCAUAAAGCAAAUGUACCAUUGGCGCACAUUUAAAACUCCUUUGAUGCAUUCUGAUCUAUAGAACAGUAGGCACUUUGUUUUUCAGUGCCAACCCUCUUUUCAGUGAGGCCAUGGGUUUCCUGAUAUGGUUAAUACAAUAACUUAGGCUUAUGGGUAUUCCUUUGGCAGCUAUGUAAACAGAUAUAUGGAUUAUGUGGAUUUUCGUCUUUGGUUUUAAGAUCUUAGUCAUAUCAGCAUGUGCAACACAUUAUUUAUCAAAUUAGGUUGGCGAUUGGAGCACAUUUUUAGUACAGCCUUGUUUCCUUGUUAUUAACUUCAUACAUGAAAGAGUCUAAUCAUCUAUUGGAAAUUGCCCUUGUUCUUUGCUGGGAGCCUUUGCAACCUCAAGUUGUGCAUCAUCCAGGUCCAGACUCUCUAGAUUAUAUAAUCAUAAGCUGGAAUUUGAUGGGUUUCUUCUCACAUUUUCCCAUGCAAGGGUUUCAAUUGCACAAUCACAUAACUGAAGAUGUAUAGAUCUUUCUUGUCAGCUCUUGCUAUUUGGAGGACAUGGAACUGGCGGUUGGCUAAGUAGAUAUGAUGUGUACUACAAUGAAUGCAUUAUUUUAGACAGGGGUAAGAUGUGAUUGUAAUUUCUUUUUUUGCUUGCAAUAGGGACUAUUAAACUGCAAAUUGUCUGUUGAGUGCCAAGGUUUUUAUUUCUUGAUUCCAAAAUGUAUUUUCCAGUAACUAAACAUAAGAUUUUGUUGCAUAGGUAAACUUGUAGGUUAUUGUGAAUAUACAGAAAAAAAUAUAGACAGCUAGGAUCAUGUCCAUGAUCCAUUGCUUUGUCUCUAUUGCUGACCCACCUUACAUGGCACUUUCUCAGUCAGCACGUGCGCAUGAUGUAUCCAGUCUGUGUGCUAGAAAUGUGGCAUGCUUGUACACCACUGUUUGUUAAGGUGCAGUUAUCCAAUUAGGUAAAACCUCCUAUGUAUCAGCUCAAAAGUAUCGGCCUAUUUUUUAGUAGAAUGGGCACACUAGCUAGCUGACUAAUAAACUGCUUGACUACAAUAAUCUUUUUCUUUGAUUCUUUUUCCCCUUGUAUUUUCUUUUCGAGGGAUCAGCAGUUAACCAGAAUUUCAUAUUACAUAUUCAUUGUUGGAUAAUACUUAGAUCCUUCACAGUCUCUGUUCAAUGGAAGCGCCUACCAACAAGCAAUGAACCGCCUCCUCCUCGGGCUUAUCACUCCAUGACUUCCAUAGGGUCUCAAUUUCUUUUAUUUGGUGGCUUUGAUGGAAAGAACACGUUUGGCGAUCUGUGGUGGCUUGUUCCUGAAGGUAUUGUUAUCUCAUGCUUGCCUGAAAAAGAACAAAUCACUCCUAUAUCAGCAUAUUGAUCUCUUGAGGGUUGUGUAUGAUGUACUGGGGUAUAAAACUCCGCACAUAAAUUCUUCAAUUCAUAUUGCUCCAGUCAUAGCCUUUAGUACUGACAAGUUGACUUGAAAUAUCAUAACAAAAAAUAACUCACUAAGUUGAUGCUAAACUGGAUUUAUAUUAGGAAACUUUACUGCUCAUGAUGCAGAUACAUUUACCAAAUUGUCUGAAAUGAUUUGAAGCUUUCCCCGAUGCUCUUGAUUGUUACUCUAUGAUGGUUGAUGGAGAGAGGUAAUCUAAAUUCCACAUUUUUGUGUGCAGAUGAUCCUAUUGCGAAACGAGGUUUAGCUCCUAACAUUGAUUCAAAUAGCAGACCUAGCACUACGACUGGUGAUGCCCAGCAACCCAACUUAAAGGUACAUGCUUGCAUGUGUGGGAGUUCAUUGUGAAAGUUUCAGGUGACAGAAAAGUCUGCAAUUGCUAAAAUAUCUGAUGGUCGCAGGAGUCACAAGCUGUGGUAUCUCCAAUAAUAGAAUUGGCCAAAAGACUGGGAAUUCCGCUUUCUGAGGAAGUUUCAAUAAGUUCUGUUGAUGAAAUGGAUGAUAAAGAACUUGUGGAAUUGUCCUCUAGGCUUGCUGGUCAAUCGCUUCCAGCUAGUGACCAGGUGGCAUCAAUUCAGGUACUUGUGGCUCGCUUUUACUGUAACUUUACUGUAUCUGCAUCUGAGAGGAUUUUGGCUUUUUUGUGUGAUACCUAGGUACUUCGUGAUCAUUGGAAAAGUUCUCCAGCAAGCUCACUACAACUGCAGGAGCUAGGACCUUUGCUGAGGGACUAUCAACGUCUCAUCCUCCGGCGCUAUUCGUAUGGUUUCACUCUUCGGUCUCCCCUCUAUGUCUGUUAUUUGCUUAUUUAAGCAUUCACUUUUUCAUGAAAUAGAAGCUGUCUGGUAGAAACUGACAUGACUUUGUAACAUAGGCUCUGUUCUGGACCAUGAACUAUUUUUUUAUUGUCACGUGAAUAACCUGAACUGCUAGAAAUGAACACCCAUUUGGUAUUUUGGGCGGAUAGUAGUAACUGUGAAUUUUACACAUUUAUCAUGGAUUUAUGCUGCAUUUCCAUGCCAUCUGGCCUGUUUGAUGUCGAUAGGCCCAAAGCUGUCAGGUUCUAGUUGGUUGUUAGUGGAAAAUGUCAUUAUCAGAGCUUGUUAUGCCUGAAAAUGAUAAUUCUUCGUUGAUGUUCAAUUAAAGCAAAAUAUAUUUCAGCAAUAUUUUUUCCUGAUCAUGAUUUCAAUUUGUUGCUGCAACUACAGGGGAAAUCAAUCAGCAGCAUUUCAUGAAAUGGAAGCUCUCCGUUUCUUCCAUUUGAAAAGUGCUUCACAGGUAUGCAUAGAAGUUCAUACGAUCCAGUAAUCCACCACAAACGAUCACCUGCCAUCAAUUGAGAAUACUGCAUUCAAUACACCCUGCUUAUUUAUCACUAUUUUUUUUUAUGUCUGGUAUACCACAGUUGCGCAUGGAUGACAUUCCCAUCUUGUUGCGCGAGUAUGGAAGGCUGCUUUCAACAUGAGAUGUCAUCUUACCUUUUUGCUUUGUAGGUGCUUUUGAACAUAUCGUUGUGUUAGGUCGCCAUUUUCUGAUUGUAGUACUGAAUUCUUUUAGCUUUUGGCCUCAUAUAAUCAUCUUUGCUUCAGGUUCGAACUGAACAUUUGAAACUUCCGAAGAAGGCAAUGUAAAUCUUGCUGCAUAUGUGCCAUCUUACUCGACUUUUGGGUAGCAUGAUGGCUGAGGUACCAAUUCUCACCCAAUGAUAGGUCAAAGAACAUUCACAGAACUGUGCAUCAUGGACAUGUUUGUAGGACGUACGAUUUAUGAAUGACAAACUGAAGCAGCAACUCCUGUGACUGCGAUCGACAUGUUUGGCCAUUCUGCUCCUCAUCUGACCAAAAGGGCAUUCCAUUGCAUAUUUGCAUGUGCACCGGAGAUCGACCGCACACAGGCCGCUACUGUUUAAGACUUAAAGUGUAGCCGGUCCCGGUCGUACGUUCAAACGCAUGUGUUGCUUGCCGUUCGUCCAUGCGAGUACAGAAAAAGGUGGAAAACGCAGCCUGGAGCUUUCCAACGAUGCCACUGAACUUCAUAGAAGAACAGCUCAAUUCAUGCAAGGGUCCGUGAAACAUUUACUGUGGCACGGUUACUUACUGUUGUCGAGACGGUAGUGAAAUUCUUGGGUUGAACUUGGCUGGCCGGACCACGGCGGGAUGGUCUGCCAGGCCCAAGCAAUCCGAGCCCAGGCCCAAAUGGGGUACGGGCAGUUCCAGAAGCUUCCACGGAUGGGAUCGUGAGACGAAACAGGAAACCACCAACCCCACCCGGCAGCGGCGGGCGCACCCGGGAUUCCCAUUCCACCGCGCCGCAGACCCGCAGUGCGCAGCGCAGCGCAGCCACCCCGCGCCCCCAGACUCUCUCGAUCGCUUGACGCACAGGAUUCUAAGGGUGAACAGCCGGCGGUAUGACUCCUGGCCCUUGGACGAAGCAGGCACCAUGGCAGGAGCAGGACUGCAGGAGGAACGAGGCAGCUGAUGGAUUUACCCCUCGUCUCAUCCGAAUAUCUGAUACCUCAUCCUCUACCGUAGCAUAUGACAUGGCAGGACAUUUGUUGCUCCCUUUUGCACAUGAGGACGGCGAGGUCGUUGGGGAUCGUGGAGUCGAUGGGCAGCAGAUAGAAAACUUCCUUUCUAAACUGUUGCUUUGAUGGCAGCUCAAAUUCAUCAUCGCUACGUUACAGAAUUGCAGGUUUUAAAUCAUCCUUACGUAUUCUAGAUAAACAAAUACAUUGUACAUUAUUCAAAGCAUCCACCAUUGACGAUUGAUCUUGUCAAUACAAAAUCUCUCUGCAUCUACAUUCUACAAUUUGAUCUCUACAAUAAUUUCGUGUUGCAAUGACAUUCUUCACCGAAACUCAUUCAGUUCUGAAGUUCAUUCAGUUCUACAAUGGCAUUCUAGCCUUUCCAAGCUCAUUAAUUCUGAAGCUCGUUCAGUUCAAGUUCUGCAAUGGCAUUCUAGGUUGUCGAUGUUAGCAAGGUGCUUUUAUGCAACAGCAAACAAGGAACAGUUAUAAUCGGCAUAUUCAUACGUUUUCUUUAAUGCAAAUAUGACCUGCUCAGUGCUGACCAUAAUGAUAUUGCCCUGACUAGCCAUUCCCUUCUCUAGGUGGUAAAUUACAACAUUCCUGACGCGAACAUCUCAUUAAUCAUUAUCUUGAGAAAGAUUAGUGCCACAAAACCUGCAAAAUUUGAAUGAAUGAAACAUAAAGCAAACGAUUGAUACAAAUACAACAAGAGUCAUCUUCCUUAGAUUGCCUGAGCUGCAAUCGACGCGAUGAGCCCUCGGCAAAAACUUGAGUGCCUCCUACGACGAGUCGAGGUGCCAGUACCAUCAGCACCCCACGAUGAGAGUGCUGCAGGCAACGACAUCGCUGGGGAGCCGGAGCCCUCAGGGUUGCGGCCCUAGCGGCAGAGGUUUAGGGUCAGGUGCCUCCUAUCGGGAGGGGAGCGCUUGACGAGGUGCGCAGGCCCGGCGCGCAAUGGCGACGGGGGCUUUGGACUGGGGACCUGGGAAAGGAGGAGACAGGCGGAGGAAGAGGAACGAAUAGAUGUGAGUGGCUGCGCCGAGCAAGCCUGAGCCGACGCGAGCGCAAGAAAACCAACCUCCUGAGCCGAGUGGUGCCUCUCCCACGUUCUCCCGUCGGAUCCCGCGAAGCGCCACGCGGCAAAAAUCAGGGACAGGGCUGCACAGGCCGCACUUUGCAGCCGUCCAGAUGCCUUCCUUUUCAGCAUCUUGUUGGCAAAUUAAGGUGACAGUUACAUCAAAGACCACAAAAGAGGUAGGAACAGUGAAGAAGUAUCUAAUCUUAUGAGAUAAUUUACAUCUUUAGUUUUAUAAUUGUUGCGGGUCCCCUUUGUUGCUUUUAUGAUGGCACCAAUACAUUUCAUGUUAUUGAGGCACUGUUGCUGAAGAAAAUGAAUUUCUCUAUGCUUCAGUCUUUUGUUUGUGAAUCACUUGCUAGUGUGAAGAGGAUCUCAGGCCUGUAGACUGACUAGAAACAACCCAGUGUAAAAAAAACAUUUUGGUAUGAUUUGUCAUUUUCUUGUAAUUCUUUAUGUUGGAAAAGAAGUAUUGCUAGUAUGUAUGUCUAUCUCAACUCAUUAUGCAUUAUUCUGGAACGGCAUGCUCUUUCCUUUUACUAAAGUCUAGUACAAGUAUACCAUGGCAUUCAGUCUCUAUCACAGAAUUACAUUUGCAUUUGACAAAAAUUACCUUUGUGUUAUGCGGAUGUCAUCAAUCAUUCGAUGAAUCUUUAUUUAAAGUACGCUGACAUAACUAGAAGUAGCCUUCUUUUGUUCCUCCUACAUUUUUUGUUUGACUAAUAACUUUUACUUGUAUCACUUUGGCUUGUCUAUCCUAUCAGUAGGUGAGUUCAAGUUUUCUUAGUUUACAGGAAUAUCUCCAGUUUCAUGCAUGGUGCUCAAUGCCUAUAUUUUCCUUUAUGUCAUUGUUGACAUCUGAUUUAUUGAGUACUCAUUUCUUUAUUACGAUUGUAGAGAUAUCCAAGCAAGCAGUGUCCUUCUUGAUGAUAAAUACGAAGUGCGACUUGGGAGUAUGAGUGACAUGCGCCCAGCAAAGUGCGGGAAGCCAGAAUGUCUUCUCUCGGAUAUUGAGAUCGUCAAAGUAAGAUUACUACCUUUCACCUUUCUUUCCUUUUCAUGUAGCACACAAGAGAACAAUAUGCUCAUUAAAUGGCUGAUUUUAUGUUUUUUAGUUUGUUUUGAUUUUUAUUGGUGUUAGUAUGUAGGCAGUGUUGAUUUGGGUACUGAAAUGCACUCAUAAAAGGCAUAGUAAAAUAAACAUCACCUUUAUUCUUACAUAUAGGUUAGUUUACUUAAGUUGUCUUUGCAGGCUCCGUUGAAUGUAUUGUGGUUGAGAUGUCUGCCCAAUACGUGAUGUUACCAUCGCUAGUUGAGUGGGAGUAGUUAAAUGAUACAUCAACAUGUUGUUGGUGAUAUUGCGCUGAAUUUCAGAUAACCUAAGGAAUCUGUUUUUCAGGCAUGUAUUGGUUUAUUGUUGGUGACUGGUAGUUGGUAGUUCACUGUCUUGUGCUGCUACUGUCUGUAGUUGAGCAAACUCCAACCUUGUGUGUGCCUGAGACCAUUUGUGUUUUCCUCUGAAGUUGGUAACUGAUCUUUGGUAUCUGACGCUUUGUUGUGGCAGGUCUCUCGACAAGCAGACAUCAGGUUCGUAAAUGUUCCACAUCUGCUGCUCCUUUUUGUAAUCCAUGUUCAUAUGACAAACUCUGGAAAAUUUGUCAACGAAAAACUCCUAAAAAAAAUUCUCCUCUACCUUGCAUGACAGGUCCACCGGCCACUUGCUCCUACGACGUCCUCUGCUUCGGCAAGGUGCUGCUGGAGCUGGUGACCGGCAACUUCGGCAUCAGCGGGUCGAACGACGGCACCUCGGAGGAAUGGCUGGUGAACACUCUUAACCAGAUCAACGGCGGCGGCAAGGCGAGCGUCACGAGCAUCAUCGACCCCUUGCUCCUCGUCGACGAGGACCACCAGGAGGAGGUGUGGGCGGCGGCGAUCAUCGCCAAGGCCUGCCUGAGCGCCAAGCCCUCGCGGCGGCCGUCGGCGCGGCACGUGCUCCGCUCCCUGGAGAGCCCGCUGCGGGUGGUGCGGCAGGGCUCGUCGUCCCGGUCGGACUCGGCCCGGCUGCGGAGUUCGUCUUCGAGGAGCUCGUGGCAGCCCGUGUUCUUACAGGGGAACAACCACCGGGUGCAGAGCCUGGACCGGCGGCACUCGGUGAGGUCUCACGGGAGCGGCGGGGAGGCGUCGUUCUCGUUCUCGUUCAAGAGGGCCGUGCGGCGGCGCCGGAGCCGGUGGCGGCGGCGCUCGACGAGGAAGCCGUUGUUGUGGAGCGUUACUGGUAGCGAGUAGGACGCCAUUUCUUGGGUUCUUUCUUACAGGCAUUCCUGAUUCUUUCCUUACGUGAUGUCAGUCACAUCGCAUCGUGUGUAUAAUUUGUUGUUGUUGUCUGAUGCGUUGAUCCGGUGUUCCAACAUGACAAGAAAAGAAAAAACUGUGCAUGAAUUCAUGUUUUCAAAUAUUUUGAGUGAAUUUUAAACUUCUUUUUAGGAUUUCUCCUCCAGAGUCCUCAGCUUCUUCUGCGUGCAGAUGGCAAUUAAAAACGAAAAGGUGAUAUGUAAAUAGGCCGCCGCGGGCGCACAGAUGGCUCUCCGGCCCAGCCUAGCCCAACCAAAUUAAAGGCAUUGAUCCAUCACUAUAUGGUACACGUGGCCCAAUAGGGUAAACAAGACGAGAGGCGGAAGCAGCGGCGGCAUGGCGUCGCGAUUCCUCCUCAGCGCUGGCGCCCUGUCGGCGCGCGGCCACCGCCUCCUCGCCGGCCAGAUCGUGGGCACGCCGCCGUUGGCUGCCGCUGCAAGCGUCGCACUCGCCGGUCAGGUCUGCUGUCCGUUCCCAACCGUCACCUCCUCGCCGGUCAGGUCUGCUGUCCGUUCCCAACCGCUUCUUUUGCAUGCUUCCGCUCACCUCCUCUGCCCAUUCCUGCAUGACGCAAUGCAGACGUUUCUGACCCCGAGCAUCAGUUGUAGUUGUACCUCUAGCCCACUGGAAUUUGGGCCGCACAAAUGACAAGUCUAAAAUUUGAUCUGAGUUGCAUUUGUUCUCCGCUCCACGAAAGCAGAACUAAACUGGAGUACUUGUUCUCUGUUCUCCACUGCAAUUUUUACAUUGUUGCGCGCCAAAGGGCCAACCGAGCAGAGCAGCAUGAAUCACCCAACAAAAUCACGAGUCCAAAGCAUCAGGUAGAGCACUACAAUAGAAACCCAUGCGAAAUUUCAUGGCCGUCAGGCGUCAGGCAUUAGCUAUUUAGCAUGCGUUUCUUCCUCUUUUUUCCUAGAAGAUUACACAAUACAGAGUAAAUUGUGUCCGUCUCCUGAUCUAUUGACACCUUGCAGAGAAUUUGUGACGUGUCAGGCCUGAAUGGCUGAAUCAAUCGUAAACACGAUCUAGAGGGAGUCAGCUUAUAGCUUUUUGCAAGCUGAGUGGUUGGAGACAAGGGCCUCAAACUAAUUCAAAAGUGAAGUUCAUGGCCUGGAAAAAGAGUCUCUUCCCUACAAAAUACAAGUUCUACAAGACAAACUCGAUUAUUUCUGCAAAUAAACUAAGAAAUUAUGUAAAAUAAAAUUUUGGUCUCCAUAGAUAAGAAUGAAUUUCACUACUAUUCGUUUUGACUCGGAAACUAUUUUUCUUUUUAGGAAUGAAAAAGGAAAAGGAAAUAGAAAAAAAUAGUUUGGUCGACCAAAUAUGUUGGUCACACGAGCCCACUAGGCUGGACGGCCCACGAACCACGUUGUCCACAUGAGCCCAUCAAAGACCGAGAUGGUCUCUCUCCCCCGUCGAGUGGGUUCAUCGACUGCGCUUUAAGAGAAGGAAAUUCGAGGGCAGAAUAGGGAUGGCAACUGGCGCAGAAUACCCGCGUACCCGCGGGUAAAAACCUGAUAGGGUAAGGAUACGUGUACUAUUUUGUGCUCACAAGUGCGGCUGCGGGUUGAGUUUGUGCUCGCGGGCAUAAAAAUAUUUUACCCGUGCCCGCAAACCCGCAACCCGCCUGACAUGUGGACAUGCUAUACAUGUACAUAAUGGAUUUCCAAGGUUCCAUCCUUAUUCGCUCGGCCGCUCCCACAUCCCACAUCCCGCCCGCCGCCACCUCCACCUCUCCGCCCCCCGCCGCCCGCUCCGCACCUCUGCCUCCCGCCGCGAGGCUGCUCCCCUCUGCCGCCCCCGUCACCGCCGGCAUAGGUGUUCCCGCGGGUGACGGAAGCGGGUACAACUUUCUACCCAUGACAGGUGGCGGGUGCGAGCACGCGUACAGAGUUUGCCUCGCGGGCGUGGGCCCGGAAACCCUCUGCCCGCGGGUAACUGCCCGUUGCCAUCCACAGGGCAGAAGCACGAGAGGAAAAGUUCCCUUCCCCACCCACUCGUCGGAACCAACCAAACCCUAGCGGCGCGCGCGCGCACGCCUCCCACCCCACCCGCGCCGUCCUCCUCCGCCCAGAUCCGGCCGAUCGGUGCCAUGGCGCUGCGCUACCUGGCCAGGAAGGUCGGUAGCCCCGCUCUCCGGCGGGCUUCGGUCCCCCGCGUGUUGCCGUCGGCGGACGCACCUCGGCCUCUCACCUCCGGCCCUUAUCAGGUGCGCGUGCGCUCCCUCCCCGCCUUCCGCUCUGGGUCGGUCGAUUAUACCGGCCAUCCGCUCUGGAUCGGUCGAUUAUACCGGCCAUCAAAUCAUCAACCCGCGCGGUUAAUUGUACUAGGUCAAUCGCUGCUGAUCUAUCCUCCUUUUCGCAUGAGCGGCACCCUGUGUUUUUCUGAUGCGUGCGAAUUUCGCACACCGAUCAUUUGCCACCGUUUUGCUGCGAAGUGAAAUUGACCACAUCGAGAGCGCCCUGUGGUAGUUUUCAACAAGGGGACGAAUUGAAUCAACAGCUAUUGCCUCACACAUACCGUCCCCAAUAUGCAUGGUAGCUGAAAGCUGGCUUCUUGCUCCUCCAUUGGGCUCAGCUAUAUGCACGAGCUUGCUGAUGGAAACUGGUCGGUGCUUGUCAAGCUAAUAGUUUUAGAAACAAAGAUCAGAGCUGGUACAUUCCCUUUGAUUUUCGUUGUUUCCUUCAGAUAGUAACAACUAUAUGCUUGCCGAACUUAAUUCCACUUGCAGUCUAGGAGAGUCCGUCCAUCUUUGGUGCCGCAAAACUAACACAGCUAGCUCUGCAAAUGUUUGCUUCCUAGGAGUUUUUGAUUUGUUGCAAUUAGGUAGUACAAUACCCCAUGGUAGCUCUGCAAAAGUUUUUCAUUGUGUGACAAUGCAAAAAGGAGUUUAUCACUGAUGAUCAUGUUAACUAAUUGGCUUGAUGGUUGGUUUACCUUGCAGUAGUGUGGUUUGAGGAGAAUUAGUGCUUGGCCCAAAUCCUUGCACGCUUUUUUGAUGAUUGCACAUUCAUGUUACUGUUUAAGCAAAUCAAUCUUUGAUCAAAAUAGACAGCCUACAACCAACAACUCAGUUGAAUCCAUAGUGGCAUAGUCCCAUACUCAGUGUUAUGUGUGGCUGGUUGAAUGAACAACACCAAUUGGUUAAAAAUGCAGUCAUCUUACAUUUUGCAUAUCUCUAAUUGAGCAAUGGUAAAACAACUUUCCUUAGUCCAAUCAUAUCAGAUUGGACAAACAAAUUAAAUUAAGAUCUGUCCUUGCUCAAAACAGAUCAGAUUGAACAAAUCUAUCUCCUUUUUUUGGGUUUCCUUUUGGUUGUCACUCUACAUGGUACAUGUAGUUCAUCCUUUUUUUUAUAAUGCAUCUAUAAGAAGGCAAUGCUUUUACUGAGCUAAUUACAAAAUUUCCACACAGGGCCUUCGUCAUUAUGCAACACCAUCCAGUGAAGCAGUGGGCUCGGAAUUGGAUGCACCCAAGGUGAAGCGUAAUCGAUCAAGUAUCUCAAAGAAAAGCGGAACAGCCAUGAUGCUUCCACUCCAUCUCCAUUACGAAGAUGUACUUCGUCAGGAUCUGUUGCUCAAACAGAAUCAUGCCAAUAUCAUGCAAGUUCCUGGAUUGUAUGAGAUCAGAUUAGUACCAAAAGCAGGUUCUGAUUUGAGGGUCCCAAUCGGAAAAUUGGCAAUGGAGAUUUUGAGCGGCCAGAGAUUCAAAGAGGCACAAGUUGACCCUUUUGCUAAAGCAAGAAAGUCUGCUCGAACCAAUCCAUUCAUUGGGGCUGGCAAAGACAGUGGCAGCGUCUUUGCACGACAGAGUGUUCUCCGAGGGCAUGCAAUGUACAAUUUCUUGGUCAGAAUGUUGACAGUGAUGUCAAUGCUUGAUUCUCGGGCCGAAAUUCGGGAAAACACCAUAAAGUUCUUCAUGGAGACGGAGUUCUGUGAGUUCUCCCCGGAACUGGAAGACCACUUUGAGAUCUUUGAGCAUAUCCGAGGGUUCAACGUAACUAUUGUCACUUCAGCCGACACAAAAGAUGAGACCUCACUACUGUGGAGUGGCUUCAUGCUAAAUGAUGAGGGGGAAACCAAGUAAGGUAAUACCGUAAUAGUGCCUAUCUUUCUCUACGCUGUAAUAUCCCUGACAUUGUACUUUCUGCCCUGCUUGAACUGAACCUUCAGUUGACUGUUUGGCAGUGGCUGAAGGCAGUCGCUGAUGUCAAAAUGGUUCUGGAGUUUUGGUGGUUCUUGCUCAAGGAGUAGAAUGCAGCAUCCAUCAGUUUUGUAGACUGAGUGAAGCCUGCGUGAUUGUUAUUUCUUAUUUGUAGCGAUGUAUGGAGCUCAUGUUUGAUUACUAACAUCUAGUACUAUGGACUUAAUAAUCUAGGCUCGAAAAGUGUCUUUCGCUUAUUUCUGUGGUUCCUGAUGUGGCAGUUAUAUAGAAUGCUCGUUUCUGUUUGUCAAAACCAUUGCAAGAGAGGGAAAUGAAACGGAGCUCAUCUUUACUACAUGUAGUACUGUGAACUUAUUAUUGGUUCAAGUUCCAUUUUGCUUGUCUCUGGCUCCUGUCCUGUAACAUGGAAAACCUGGUUGUUUCUCGAAAAUCACUGUAAUAGGGCACAUUUCCUUGUCUUACAGAUCUUUUUUUUUAAAAAAAACUGAUGUCACAUCGCAUAUCUUUUUGUUAAUUUGUUUGAUCCGCUUAUGGUCCGGUGUUCCAACCUGAGAGCAGGGUUUACAAAACCGUAGUAAACCGCUCGAAACCACGGUUUUCGGCUGGACCGCUUCGAUCCGGCAGCUGUUCGGCUGCACCGUAAAUCGCUCGAAUUCAAAAAAUUCAAAUUUGAAAUUUUUGAAUUCGGACGGUUUAUUGUGUGGUUUUUACCGCUGAGUGGUUUUUACCGGUUACUGAGCGGUUUGAAUUCAGACGGUUUACUGUUCGGUUUUUACCGGUUACCGAGCGAUUUUUUCCGGUCACCGACCGGUUUUCAGUAAAAACUGUUCUGUUUUUACCGUUACCGAGCGGUUUUUACCGGUUACCGAGCGGUUUUUAUGGUUACUGAUGGUUUUUAGUAAAAACCGAAACCGUCGAGGGUCGGUUUCGGUUUGGAAGGGAAUACCCUGCUGAGAGAAAUUAUGCAUGAAGAGAAUUUAUAACCUUUUCUUUUUAGCUAAAGGGAGAGCUGCAUAGGGGAUCCCGGGGUCAACCCCUGCUAGGGAGCACGAAACAGAGCUCGGGUCUGCUCCCAUGGCCAAGGAGCUAGAUUUUGAUAGGAAUUUGGACGUUGAGCACUCUUGGAAGAUGGUGGGAAAAUUAGAGAGAUAUGGUGGGCACCGAAGCAGGAAGACGUGCAAAAGUACACUGAUCCUGUUUGUUAGCCAUCACAAGGUGAGAGAGGUAUAAAGGAGGCAUAUAAUUAGAGUUUGCUCAUGGUUUUAUACCUAGAGGGUAUGUGGGUUUGUGUGGACGUUAAUAAUGGUAAAAAAAAUCACAUUCGGCCAAAUUUUGGAUCGGUUUGGUUUUAUUUUGAUCCUCACCAAAAUGGGUGAAUUUCACCGAAAUUCCGUUAUUUUGGAUUGAAUUGCAGAGCCUACUUUUAUGCAUUAAAUGAAGUGCAAUGGGAAAGCUACACCUUGAUUGCCAGAAUGGAUAAUUAUUGCCAAAAGACUUUCCAAGUAAAUGGUCGAGGUCCAUAAAUGUUAGAUGGGGAUCGUUCAGACUUGGGCAACAUUAGUCCAUCAGCAGUACUAGAAAUCAUCAUGUAGUACUAGAAAUCAUCAUGUACUAGUUACUUUAGAGUAGUUACUUUAGAGCAUCAGUAUGAACAAUAAUCUGACAUGUUUGACCCGGCCGAGUGAAGAGUUGUAUUUCAGCACGGGGUUUGUUAGGAUUUCGACUUCUAAUGGGCAAGACCUCCCCUCCUCCCUAUAAAUAUAAAGGGCCACGGCCGAUUGAGGACAUCCAAUCGAUCAAAAACAUUAUCAAUCUACUAUUUUGAUUUUUUACCUUUUCUAUUUGCCCUAGCUUUUCCAAUCCCCAUCUAAUGUUCUUCCUUCAUCUCUACGACGUUUGAGGACGUUCUAGGUGGCCUGCCGACCCUAAAACAACCUAAGGUGCGCCUGCCCUGACGGGUUCCUCCUGGACGAGCGUUCGUUGGUUUUUUUCACCGAGCUUGUCGGCGAAACCGGUCUAACUAGCCACCAACACCGGUCUGACCGCCCCGCGCAAAGGAACUGCAAGGAGCUCCUCCGCGUGCCGCAUGUUCGAGUGCGUUCGUGUAUUGGCUCGGUGGUUAUAAAUGUUAAUACUCUUCUGCAUAAAUUUGUCAAACUUAGAAGCAUUUGAUUUUGAAGUAUCCCUUGUAUUUGAGAGCGAGUGAGUAACUCUUUCUAUUAUUUAUUUUCAUUUUAUCCUUAUGCGUGUGAAUGCAUGCAUACAUAUGUGGAGACAUUGCCACCAACCGACUUUGCCAAAACGAGCUGCAUCAGUGGAUCAUCUAAGCUACUACUCCAGAACCAACAACACCACCACUGCCUAGGUAGGGAUGCGAGUAGAAGUACUGACUCUACUACCAUCAUAGGAUUGUAAUUGACUAUGGUGACAAAAAAAGAUAGUGAUUAGAAGAAACAACGGAGAUCACUAUAAUCCAUCAUGUGUGUGAGAGAGGCGUUUGAGCUAGCACGGCGAGUAACAAAUUUUUUUUCCAAACCAUCCAUACCUAUUGUUAGUUUGUUCAUCCAUGUUUCUAAAUCUAAAAUCUCAUCUACUUUAUCAAAUAUGGCCAGUUGUAGCUUACGGGACGUGCUAGAUGACGAGGGAACUUCCUUUUUUACAUCUUGCUCACCAUAAUUAUCUAAGCAAGAUGUAAAAAAGGAAGUUGGAAAUUAUGUUGGAUAGCUACUUUAAAUACUUGGGUGUUCCAAGACGUGCCAAUGAUUUUUUUUUUCAUAGCCUGUUUGAAAAUUUUAAAGUUUUGCAGCCUUAUUCAUUUAUGGGAAAAUCGUUCCCGCGGGUCGGCCAAACGGCCCAAACCAGGAGGGGAAAUGCGGAUAGGAGGAGCUCCACCUUCCACAGCACUCCCUACAAUGGCCGCCGCUCUCCCGCACUCCCACCUCCGCCUCCACCUCCCGCUCCGCACCCCCAACCCCUCCCGCCGCCGCCAUCGCCUCCGCCCCCCCUCCCUCGUCGCCGCUUCGCGCCUCCAGAACCCCACUAUCGCGACCCACCCGGUCCUCCCGCCCCCGGCUCCGGCCCCCUCCGCCGCACUCCUCGCAGCCGAGGGGGCCUCCCUCGCGCCGCGCCGGGAUCACCGCUUCCCGGGCUCCGUCUCCGCCCCAACGAGCUCCGCCGCCCCUAUUGGGCUCGCGGAGGCGGGGGAUGCCAUCCUGCGGCGCGCCCUCGAGGUGCGCCGCGCGGUGGCCGCCGAGGCGCUCGUGGCCGCGCUCAGCGGCGGGAAGGUCGGCGGCCUGACGUACGUCAAGAACCUCACAGCGCGGAUGGGGCCGUUCGUCGACCGCGUCGUCGUCGAGGCCGCCGCAAUGCGGCGGGACCGGCCCGACCUCGCGCACAUGUCCUUCAACGCGCGGGCGAAGGCGUACAUCCAGGAGUCCGGCCUUGUCGAGCUAGUCAAGUAAAGAUCCCAGCUUUGCAAUCCUUCAUCUGUUUCCUUUGUUUAUUUCUGUUCUGUUUGCACAAGAAUUGUGAUAAUUCGAAUACCAGAGGCAUUGCAAAUCAUAAAAAUGCAAGUUUGUAGUUUAUACACGUGAAAUUUUCCUAUUAUGAUUGCGAUGAUUACAAUUACAUACUUCAGGUGGUUCAAGCACAAUUCUAUGACAUAUCCCCAAAUUGCCAAAGUUGUUUGUGCGUGUUCUGGCGAUUUGGGGAAAGUAAGGAUGAUGAUAAAGUGGCUGAGGUCAAUUUAUGUAAAAGGAGAUUUUUUGGGGCGCGUCCUUGCAAACGGUGGAUCUUUUCUGAACCGAAGCUUUGAAGAGUUGGAAGAUAUUAUUGGCUAUCUGGAAAGCUGUGGCGUGAGGAGAGACUGGAUUGGUUAUGUGGUCAGUAGAUGUCCCCAGCUGCUGAAUCUGUCCAUGGAUGAGUUGGAGACACGAGUGAGGUUUUAUACAAAUAUGGGUAUGGAUGAUAAGGACUUUGGCACGAUGGUCUAUGAUUAUCCAAGAGCUCUUGGAUUUUUAAGCUUGGAAGAGAUGAACAGUAAGGUGUUUGCUUUACGUUUAGUUUUACUUCUGUGCUAUAUUCGUUGCACACUGCACAUUGGCAGGAUUAUUAGCCUCUUUUCUUUUAUGCAGUUCAUUUUCUGUUCCUUGUUAUGGAAAAAAGUAAAGAAUUGAUCUUCAGAAUGGUUGAAGCUCUAUUUAUUUCAGCUCACUAAUCACUAUGAAAAAAAAUAGGAUGAACAAAACUGAGUCGCAGUAUGUGUUUCCCCUGCUAAAAAAAUAGGAUCAAUGUGCUGACGAGUAAUAUGUGGUCAUAGGUCUAGAGUUCCAUAUGAAAUAAUCUAGCUAUCUACUUUGAAAGUGUGAAAUGCUAAGGAACACAUUGACUAACUUUCCUUGUACCUUUGGAAGGUUUUUGAUAAACUAAUUAGUUAGUUGAAUAUUAUAUUCAGUUCUUGACUUCUAUUUUUCUAGUUGGUAAUGAAAUAUCAUUCUGGUUCACAGGUUCAAUAUCUGAAAGAGUUUGGUUUGAGCACUGAAGAACUUGGGAGGCUACUGGCUUUCAAGCCACAACUCAUGGCCUGUAGCAUUGAAGAAAGGUGGAAGCCUCUUGUGAAGUAUCUGUAUCACCUAAAUGUUUCACGGGAUGGCAUGAAGCGAAUGCUGUUGGUCCAACCUACAAUAUUCUGUCUUGAUUUGGAGACAGUGAUAGCACCAAAGGUAACUUCUUAGUUGCUUUGAAAUAUAUUUGCAUCUUUUUAGCUGUUACACACUUCUUUUCUAAUUUUGGUGUUCACGAAAAAAUGUUAUAAUUUGUUAAGCUGCUCCAUAAAAAUAGUUUGAUUUUUCAGACUUGGUCUUCAAAGCUCCAAUAGGACUAAGUAUUUACUUAUUUCUGCAAAGUGUGCAACUGGGAUUUAGAGCUCAGAAUGUUCUGAAGUCAAUUAAUAUGACUCAUCUACCUCUAUGCAAAAUUCUGUUUCAGGUACAAUUUCUACUAGAUAUUGGUGUACGGAGUGAUGCAAUUGGCAAUGUGCUUGUGAAGUUCCCUCCUGUGUUAACUUAUAGCCUAUACAAGAAAAUACGCCCAGUGGUGCGUUCUUAUAUCUUGUUAUUAUUCUUUUCAGUUUUGAUAAUAUUGAUUCAUUUUGUUUGGAUUUUAUUACACCAGCUUUUACUAUACUUGGUUUCAAUAGGAAAUUAGUGUACAAAUUGUAGGAAUUUUAUUUCACUGACAGUUGGGACAGUACAGAUAGAACCAUAGUAAGUACUGAGUGUACAGUGAGUCAAAUCUCAGAAAGCUUCAUUCUAUCUAUAGCAUUAACUUCAUUUUUUUUCCCAUAUAAUUGGGACCUUUGAAUAACCCAACUAUUUGACUAUUCAGUGUGCAGUUACUUAAAUAAUUCUCCGUAUUGGUUCAUCAUGAUGAGCUAACACAUAAGCAGUCAAUUUGUGCAUAUACUAAUUGGUCAGAGUCCUUAGAGUGAUCUGUUCCUUCUGUUUGUUUCCCCUUUCUUUUCUCCUUUUCUUCUCCUCUGUACAGAACUUUUGUUUUUCAUAUUUAAUAAUAUUAUAUCCAGUAGGGGGCCUGCCCCUCCUGUUCUUUAAAAAAGAACUUUGUGCAACAUUAUUUCAGUCAAUCUAUUACAUAUAAAAGAUUUGAACCUAAUAUGCAUCUUUCAGCGAUGGUGCAAUGCUUGAAAUUGAACAUCUCAAGUUAACAUCAGUAAAUUUGGUAACUGUCCUAGUGCCUUGUUUGAAAACACGUGUUAUGGUGGAACAAGGGACAUAAUUUUUUCAAAGUAGAGUGUUUGUUUCCAGAUUUUUUACUUUUACAUAUUCCUUCUGCUACUAAAUCUCUCUUACACGUGUGCAAACCGUAGGUUAUUUUUCUGUUGACGAAAGGUGGAGUAAAACAGGAUGACAUUGGAAAGGUUAUUGCUCUGGAUCCACAGCUCUUGGGCUGUAGUAUUGCACACAAGCUAGAAGUUAGUGUCAAGUAUUUCCGGUCAUUGGGGAUCUACCACUUUGUGCUCGGUCAGAUGGUUGCCGACUUCCCAGCACUUCUUAGAUACAACGUGGAUAUCCUAAGACCAAAAUACCAGUACUUGAGGCGUGUAAUGGUGCGGCCACUGAAAGAUCUCAUCGAGUUUCCACGGUGAGUUGGAGUUCAUGUUUUCUUCUAAAACAAAGAUAUUGAUAGCCUAAUUGAUGCCUGUCCUUGUGAGUUGUAAUUGAUGCCUGUCCUUGUUGUGAGUUGUGACCCUCACCCCUUGUGCCUCUUUGCUGGAUGGUUGUCAGGUUCUUCAGUUACUCCCUGGAGGACAGGAUAGAGCCUCGGCACCAAACACUGGUGGCCAACAGGAUCAACAUGAAGCUGCGGUACAUGUUGACUGGAUCUGAUGAAGAAUUUGCAGAGAGGGUGCGGGAGGCCGUCGAGAGGAGAGCGAGAUUCGAAGCUGGAAAAGGUGUUGCAGAGACAAUUCCAGAUGCUCGAGAGACAUCUGAGGAGGAAGAAACUACAGAAGCAGCAGCAUGCUGAAACAGCGUGGAGGUAAAUUAGAUAGGUGUAGUACUUCUGAAAAAAAAAGAAAAGAAAA
rnacentral:lncRNA from 1 species